CAAUAUUAUCAAAUUUGUCAAAACUCAAAGCGCCAUAGAUAUUAGUAUCUAAAAUUAACCCAAAAAAAGCAAAGCAUUCAAUAAUCUACUGAAAUCUAAUCUUAACUUGAAAGAUUUCUACUGAUUUACAGUAAUAAACAAAACGACUCGCCUGUGAAGCAAUAUAUCAAUUCAAUAUAAAUUAUCCAACCGGAUUUUGCAUUUCAAGAAACUAUAGGCUAAGUGGAACAAAGGUCCUCGAAAAAAAAACAUAAAAUGC